CCUACGGGAGGCAGCAGUGGGGAAUUUUGGACAAUGGGCGAAAGCCUGAUCCAGCCAUGCCGCGUGAGUGAAGAAGGCCUUCGGGUUGUAAAGCUCUUUUAGUCGGAAAGAAAGAGUUGCAAUGAAUAAUUGUGAUUUAUGACGGUACCGACAGAAAAAGCACCGGCUAACUACGUGCCAGCAGCCGCGGUAAUACGUAGGGUGCGAGCGUUAAUCGGAAUUGCUGGGCGUAAAGGGUGCGCAGGCGGUCUUGCAAGUCAGAUGUGAAAGCCCCGGGCUUAACCUGGGAAUUGCGUUUGAAACUACAAGGCUAGAGUGCAGCAGAGGGGAGUGGAAUUCCAUGUGUAGCAGUGAAAUGCGUAGAGAUGUGGAAGAACACCGAUGGCGAAGGCAGCUCCCUGGGUUGACACUGACGCUCAUGCACGAAAGCGUGGGGAGCAAACAGGAUUAGAUACCCUGGUAGUCCACGCCCUAAACGAUGUCAACUAGUUGUCGGAUCUAAUUAAGGAUUUGGUAACGUAGCUAACGCGUGAA
rnacentral:rRNA from 1 species